UCAUGGUGUUUAAUAAAUCUCCAAUUAAAUACCUCCACUUAAAUAACCAGUAAUAAGUACUACAAAAUAAGUCAAAUUUGAAAAAUCUGAUCUCAAAAAUGGAACAAAUACGUCGAAAUUAGUCAGAACCAAUCUCUUCCCAAAAAAUACUAAUGGGGCGCCAGGACCCAUUGACGUGGUGCUGACUGGUCUUCCACCU
rnacentral:lncRNA from 1 species